GUUCAGCCAUUUAGGAAAGAUUGGUGACCUAUCUGCAUGAUGGCAUUAACUACAAGGAUCAUCCAAGAGCCACAGUCACAAAGCCAGUCUCUGAAUAUGGUUCAAAGAAAUCUUAUAACUCUCUGAACAGAAGCAACCGAAUAUAUGGACCCCAUGACCCAGCUGUAUUAGUCUGUUCUCAUGCUGCUAAUAAAGACAUACCUGAGACUGCAUAAUUUAUAAAGGAAAGAGGUUUAAUGGACUCACAAUCAUGGCAGAAGGUGAAGAAGGGGCAAAGGCAUGUCUUACAUGGUGGCAGGACAUGUAUUUGCCAACACUACUUGGAGGGCCGGUACUUCCAAGGAAGUCACUUUUGCAGUCGAUUUAUGUGCACUGUUCCCAGAGCCAGCUCGCACCCAUGAAGAACAACACAACUUACCGGUCAUAGGAGCAGAAAGUGUUGACCUUGCAGCAGGAUUUGGACACUCUGGGAGCCAAACUGGAUGUGGAAGCUCCAAAGAGGAUGCAGCAAUAAGGCACCAUCUUGGAAAAGGAGACUGAUCCUCAAAAAAUGUCAGUGCCUCAAUCUUGGACUUCCCAGCCUCUAAAACGGU